rnacentral:sRNA from 12 species
GCUGGUGCUUUAUAAUAGAUACAGGGAAACCUGGGCGGUAAUUGUGCAGUUGCAAAGCAUAUUUACCGUUUACAUA